rnacentral:rRNA from 1 species
GACGAACCGUCCAAACGUUAUUCGGAAUCAUUGUGCUUAAAGGGUGCGUAGGCGGUGCGGUAAGGUGGGUGUGAAAUACCUCGGCUCAUCCGAGGAAUGGCCCCCAAAACUGUCGUACUCGAGGGAGACAGGGGUAAGCGGAACUGAUGGUGGAGCGGUGAAAUGCGUUGAUAUCAUCAGGAACACCAGUGGCGAAAGCGGCUUACUGGGUCUCUUCUGACGCGGAGGCACGAAAGCUAGGGGAGCAAACGGG